AAAGAUUUUAUUCAACACCUCAACGUUCUCAGAUCUAAACCCUACUCCGCCUACUUCGAUCGCACCGCCACCAUACAACCACCGUCCAACACAUCACCAAAGCCUCCUCCGACCAACUCCUCAGCAAAUUCGCCGAAUAGACCUGGUCGGAAAAUCCUCCCGCCGAUUCACUUUCCAGCUCUGCUCCUCGAUCAUCCGCCCGUUCUCACAGGUCGUUGCUGGUUCCUGUAGCAACGAGAGAUCUAUCGUGAAGGAAGAGUUCGUGUUUUGGAACAAUCGAGAAGGGUGGCUACUUGGAGGUGAUGCAUGAUCUUCACGGGUCAGACUUCACUGAGGUUCCAGAUGACCCUGAGGUGUGGGAUCGUGUGCAGGCAGGAGGUCGCAGGAUUUGGGUCAGAUUAAUAUAUUAUAUUUCUACCCUGUAGGAUCCUGAGGGUCUGUUUCCAUGUAUUCUUGGUCAUGAGGCUGCUGGGAUUGUUGAGAGUGUUGGUGAAGGGGUGACCGAAGUUUGAAACGAUAAAGACCGCCAAUCUGCAACUCAACUUUUGGUGGAGGGUCCUUGCAUAUUCGUUGGUCCUAUUGAAAGGGCUAGUCAAGAAACUCUAGAGGCUUUUUAUCGACAAGCACAGGAUUCGUACUAUAGUGGGAAACCCUUGAUCGUUGACGACAUGUUUGAUAGAGUAGAGUUACAGUUACGGUGGUAUGGAUCAACGUAUGUCGUCAGGUA